rnacentral:rRNA from 1 species
GACGAACGCUGGCGGCGUGCUUAACACAUGCAAGUCGAACGCUGAAGCUCAGCUUUUGUUGGGUGGAUGAGUGGCGAACGGGUGAGUAACACGUGAGUAACCUGCCCCCUUCUUUGGGAUAACGCCCGGAAACGGGUGCUAAUACUGGAUAUUCACUGGUCUUCGCGUGGGGUUGGUGGACAGGGCUUUUCUGGUGGGGGAUGGGCUCGCGGCCUAUCUGCUUGUUGGUGGGGUGAUGGCCUACCAAGGCUUUGACGGGUAGCCGGCAUGAGAGGUUGACCGGUCACAGUGGGACUGAGCUGCGGCCCAGACUCCUACGGGAGGCAGCAGUGGGGAAUAUUGCACAAUGGGCGCUAGACUGAUGCAGCGACGCCGCGGGAGGGAUGGAGGCCUUCGGGUUGUGAACCUCGGUCGGUCAUGGUGAAGCCGCAACAAUGGUUGUGGUGAGGGUAGUGGGUAAAGAAGCGCCGGCUAACUACGUG